UAGUGAGUUUGAUCCUGGCUCAGGAUGAACGCUAGCGGCAGGCCUAAUACAUGCAAGUCGAACGGGUGGUAGCAAUACCACUAGUGGCGCACGGGUGCGUAACGCGUAACCAACCUGCCCUGAACUGGGGGAUAGCCCGCCGAAAGGCGGAUUAAUACCGCAUAAACCAACAGAACGGCAUCGUUUAAUUGGUAAAGAUUUAUUGGUUCAGGAUGGGGUUGCGUGACAUUAGCUAGUUGGCGGGGUAACGGCCCACCAAGGCGACGAUGUCUAGGGGACCUGAGAGGGUGAUCCCCCACACUGGCACUGAGAUACGGGCCAGACU
rnacentral:rRNA from 1 species